rnacentral:rRNA from 1 species
AUAGCUGGGUAGCUAUGUAUGGACGGGAGAAGUGCUGAAAGCAUCUAAGCAUGAAGCCCCCCUCAAGAUGAGAUUUCCCAACUUCGGUUAUAAGAUCCCUCGAAGAUGACGAGGUUAAUAGGUUCGAGGUGGAAGCGUGGUGACACGUGGAGCUGACGAAUACUAAUCGAUCGAAGACUUAAUCAAUUUUUAAA